rnacentral:misc_RNA from 1 species
GAUGAAGAACGUAGCGAAAUGCGAUAACUAGUGUGAAUUGCAGAAUUCAGUGAAUCAUCGAGUCUUUGAACGCACCUUGCGGCCGCCGGCAGUCCGGCGGCCAUGCCCGUCCGAGCGUCGCUUAAACCUCCUCAGCAGCUUUAUUGCAGCUGGCGUUGGGGGACCACACUCUUAGUGUGGCUCCCGAAACCUAGCGGCGACGCGCCUGUGUCUCUCCUGCGUAGUAGUAUUUUCUCGCACCGGAAUCCUAGCGUGGUUCUGCCUUGCUCCAGUGGGCUCGCACCACAUAGCAACGUUGACCUCGGAUCGGGUAGGAAUACCCGCUGAACUUAAGCAUAUCAAUAAGCGGAGGA